GACACGGACCAGACUCCUACGGGAGGCAGCAGUAAGGAAUAUUGGUCAAUGGGCGCAAGCCUGAACCAGCCAUGCCGCGUGCAGGAAGACGGCCCUAUGGGUUGUAAACUGCUUUUGUCGGGGAAUAAACCUCAUUACGUGUAAUGAGUUGAAGGUACCCGAAGAAUAAGGAUCGGCUAACUCCGUGCCAGCAGCCGCGGUAAUACGGAGGAUCCAAGCGUUAUCCGGAUUUAUUGGGUUUAAAGGGUGCGUAGGCGGUUUAUUAAGUCAGUGGUGAAAGCCCGGAGCUCAACUUCGGAACUGCCAUUGAAACUGAUAGACUUGAGUACAGAUGAAGUGGGCGGAAUGUGACAAGUAGCGGUGAAAUGCUUAGAUAUGUCACAGAACACCGAUUGCGAAGGCAGCUCACUAAAGUGUAACUGACGCUGAGGCACGAAAGCGUGGGGAUCAAACAGGAUUAGAUACCCUGGUAGUCCACGCCCUAAACGAUGGAUGCUAGCCGUUGGCGGGUUUACCCGUCAGUGGCGCAGCUAACGCUUUAAGCAUCCCGCCUGG
rnacentral:rRNA from 1 species